CCCAUCAGUCUUGCGACCUAGUAGGUACUCACUAAAUAAGUUCAGACUUGGCGAGUCUGGAUGCUCUGACCUUUCUAAACUCUGAGUUGGUUGGCUCCCCGAGUACUGGUUAAGUUGCUAGCAAAGUCCUGCAUCUUUCACCACAAUCCUCUUUCCCUCUUGGUGUGAGAACAGGGCUGGUAGAGUAGGCUUUUGGUCUGCACAGUGUGGUGUGGGAGGAAAGAAGAAUUUUUCUGUACUUGUUUUUCUUCUUAGACACGUGUGUGUGUGUGUGUGUGUGUGUGUGUGUGUGUGUGUGUGUGUGUGUGUGUGUGUGUGUACAUGUUUGAGUGCAGGUAGAUGCCAGAACUUGGUGUCAGAGUCAUUCUUGACCACUCUUCUACCUUCUUCAGAAAGACACGUUCGCUCGGUUAAAUUCAGAAUUUGGCAAAAUGGCCAGUCUUGCUCUGGGGAUCCCCUGCCUCCUAGGCUGGAAUUGCAGAUGGCAGCCAUUGCCACCUAGCAUUUAUGUUCCUGAACAUCUAUGCUCCAGUCUUUUUCAUUUGUCAUGCUGGAGCAUCUGUCUCUCAGCCCUCCUAUUCUAAAAAAAAAAAAAAAAA
rnacentral:lncRNA from 1 species